UCCCCUAGCCGUGAGCAGAGUUACCUUGCUGGUGGUGAAGUUCUUUUAUCAGUCAGGGGCAAAGCAGUUGGCAGUCAUUUGUUCAUCCUAGCUUGGUACCUGUCUUGGUGACCAAAGCUGUCUUAUACCAGGAUUCAUAA